AGAGGGGUGGCAGAGUCUGGUCCUAUGCAGCCGGCUGCAAACCGGCCUACCCGAGUUCAAAUCUCGGCCCCUCUU
rnacentral:tRNA from 2 species